rnacentral:rRNA from 1 species
UCAAGAAACUUCCACAAUGGGCGAAAGCCUGAUGGAGCGACGUCGCGUGAUGGACGAAGUGCUUCGGCACGUAAACAUCUUUUAUGUGGGAUGAAAUUAUUGACAGUACCACAUGAAUAAGGGGCUCCUAACUCUGUGCCAGCAGGAGCGGUAAUACAGGGGGUGCGAGCGUUAAUCGGAAUUACUGGGCGUAAAGGGCGCGUAGGCGGUCGAGUAAGUCGGAUGUGAAAUCCCCGGGCUUAACCUGGGAAUUGCAUUCGAUACUGCUUGGCUAGAGUGUGGAAGAGGGAAGCGGAAUUUCCGGUGUAGCGGUGAAAUGCGUAGAUAUCGGAAGGAACACCAGUGGCGAAGGCGGCUUCCUGGUCCAACACUGACGCUGAGGCGCGAAAGCGUGGGGAGCAAACAGGAUUAGAUACCCCGGUAGUCCCUGAGCGGGCUGGCAAGGCGCAU